rnacentral:sRNA from 13 species
UACCUCAAAAUUGAAGCGAGUUAUGCGCCUUCAAAGUUCCAGGUGAGAGAGUGAGAGACGGCAGAGAAAGAGACAGUCGUUUUCUCUGCCGCCUCUUACUCUCUCACUUCAAUCUUUAAAGGCGCAUAACUGGCUUCAAAUUGAAGGUU